rnacentral:rRNA from 1 species
GUGGGGAAUCUUCCGCAAUGGACGAAAGUCUGACGGAGCAACGCCGCGUGAGUGAUGAAGGUCUUCGGAUUGUAAAGCUCUGUUAAUCGGGACGAAAGAGCCUAGUGUGAAUAAUGCUAGGAAGUGACGGUACCGGAAUAGAAAGCCACGGCUAACUACGUGCCAGCAGCCGCGGUAAUAUGUAGGUGGCAAGCGUUGUCCGGAAUUAUUGGGCGUAAAGCGCGCGCAGGCGGAUCUGCCAGUCUGUCUUAAAAGUUCGGGGCUUAACCACGGGAUGGGAUGGAAACUACAGAGCUAGAGUAUCGGAGAGGAAAGUGGAAUUCCUAGUGUAGCGGUGAAAUGCGUAGAUAUUAGGAAGAACACCAGUGGCGAAGGCGACUUUCUGGACGAAAACUGACGCUGAGGCGCGAAAGCCAGGGGAGCGAACGGGAUUAGAUACCCCAGUAGUCC